GCCCGGUUAGCUCAAUCGGUAGAGCGUGAGACUCUUAAUCUCAAGGUUGCGGGUGAGUAGCAUUCUCCUGUGGAAACACCAAAAAAUUCGGUAUUCUAACUCUGAUAAUAGGUUCGACCCCCGCAUUGGGCU